CAACCCUCAUGCCCCUAGGGCGUGGUGUUGGGGAUCGGCCAAGGCCCGCAAGGGACGGCCGGCCCCUAAAUCUAGUGGCGGACCCGUCGUGGCCUCCUCUGCGAAGUAGUGAUAUUCCGCAUCGGAGAAGCGACGAGCCCCUGCCGUUAAACCCCCAACUUUCCAAGG
rnacentral:misc_RNA from 1 species